rnacentral:misc_RNA from 1 species
GAUGAAGAACGUAGCAAAAUGCGAUAAGUAAUGUGAAUUGCAGAAUUCAGUGAAUCAUCGAAUCUUUGAACGCACAUUGCGCCCGCCAGUAUUCUGGCGGGCAUGCCUGUUCGAGCGUCAUUUCAACCAUCAAGCCCCAGGCUUGUGUUGGGGACCUGCGGCUGCCGCAGGCCCUGAAAACCAGUGGCGGGCUCGCUAGUCACACCGAGCGUAGUAGCAUACACAUCGCUCAGGGCGUGCUGCGGGUUCCGGCCGUUAAACCCCUUUUUUACCCAAGGUUGACCUCGGAUCAGGUAGGAAGACCCGCUGAACUUAAGCAUAUCAUAAGCGGAGGA